GAAUACGGCCCGCAAAGUAAAACUUCAAAAGGAAUUGACGGGGGGCCCGCAACAAGCACGGAGCGUGUGGUUUAAUUCGAGGCUACACGAAGAACCUUACCUGGGCUUGACAUCACGGUGGUAGGGAACCGAAAGGGGACCGACCUUCGGGAGCCGUGACAGGUGCUGCAUGGCUGUCGUCAGCUCGUGUCGUGAGAUGUUCGGUUAAGUCCGGUAACGAGCGCAACCCUCGUCGCCAGUUACACGGUGUCUGGCGAGACUGCCCGUAGAAAGCGGGAGGAAGGUGGGGAUGACGUCAAGUCAGCAUGGCCUUGAUGUCCAGGGCGACACACACGCUACAAUGGCCGGUACAAUAGGUAGCCAACCCGCGAGGGGGAGCCAAUCCAGCAAAGCCGGUCUCAGUUCGGAUUGCAGGCUGCAACCCGCCUGCAUGAAGUCGGAGUUGCUAGUAACCGCAGGUCAGCCAUACUGCGGUGAAUACGUUCCCGGGCCUUGUACACACCGCCCGUCACGUCAUGGGAGCUGGUCAUGCCUGAAGUCGGUGGGCCAACCGCAAGGAGGCAGCCGCCGAAGGCAGGGCUGGUGACUGGGACGAAGUCGUAACAAGGUACCUGCUAGCGGAAGCUGCGGCUGGAUCACCUUAAUC
rnacentral:rRNA from 1 species